rnacentral:rRNA from 1 species
UACGGAGGAUGCAAGCGUUGUCCGGAAUGAUUGGGCGUAAAGCGUCCGCAGGCGGCUGUGUAAGUCUGCUGUCAAAGAGCGAAGCUCAACUUCGUAAAGGCAGUGGAAACUACACGGCUAGAGUGCGUUCGGGGCAGAGGGAAUUCCUGGUGUAGCGGUGAAAUGCGUAGAGAUCAGGAAGAACACCGGUGGCGAAGGCGCUCUGCUAGGCCGCAACUGACACUGAGGGACGAAAGCUAGGGGAGCGAAUGGG